AUUUGCGUUAUUUAUUAAACGCCUCUACUUCGAGUUCGAAGGUCUGAUGGAGUUGUCUACUAACUUUGGAAACUUUGUAUUCUUACAUUUUUCAGAUUUAUAGCUUCUUUUUUUCACCGUGGAUAACUUGUGCUGUAGUUUUAUAUACAAUUUGGAUUAAUACUGUGUGAUAUCAAGUAUCGUCAGCGUGAAAAAAUUAGGAAUCAACUGACUGGAUUUUAUUCAGGGAGCAGGGACCUUUGAAUCGAUUGAGAAAAGACUCUUUCAAGCAUGGGGAACGGAGAGAGUUCUCCCCAGCUCAAGCGGCGGAAUAGCUACCCAAUGAUGGCUCCAAAACAAGCCAUGCCGGAGAAGACAGACCUCGAUGAUCGCUUCAUGACGAUUUUGAAAAGUAAAAGACAAAAGCUGUUCAAGGCUUUUGAACCUGUCUGGGAUGAGCAGUGACCUGCAUUCAUCAAAGAUAUUGGUGCUUCAUCUUCCUUCUCCAUACACUCCUCCAUACACUCCUCCAUACCUGGAUUUGAAAGACUGCAUCAGCAUUCAGCGAAGGACUUUCGGACAUCAGAUUUAGUUUUGUGCAGACUCCCUUACUUCAUAUCUCCACACGCAUUAAGGGGGUUGGAAGAGAGAGAGAGAGAGAGAGAGAGAGAGAGAU